rnacentral:rRNA from 1 species
GACGAACGCUGGCGGCGUGCUUAACACAUGCAAGUCGAACGGAAAGGCCCCCUUGUGGGGUACUCGAGUGGCGAACGGGUGAGUAACACGUGAGUAACCUACCCUUGACUUUGGGAUAACUUCAGGAAACUGGGGCUAAUACCGGAUAGGAGCUCCUGCUGCAUGGUGGGGGUUGGAAAGUUUCGGCGGUUGGGGAUGGACUCGCGGCUUAUCAGCUUGUUGGUGGGGUAGUGGCUCACCAAGGCUUUGACGGGUAGCCGGCCUGAGAGGGUGACCGGCCACAUUGGGACUGAGAUACGACCCAGACUCCUACGGGAGGCAGCAGUGGGGAAUAUUGCACAAUGGGCGGAAGCCUGAUGCAGCAACGCCGCGUGCGGGAUGACGGCCUUCGGGUUGUAAACCGCUUUCGCCUGUGACGAAGCGUGAGUGACGGUAAUGGGUAAAGAAGCACCGGCUAACUACGUG